rnacentral:rRNA from 1 species
GGCUCAGAACGAACGCUGGCGGCGCGCCUAACACAUGCAAGUCGAACGAGAAUCCGGGGCAACCCGGUAGUAAAGUGGCAAACGGGUGAGGAAUACAUGGGUAACCUACCCUUGAGAAGGGAAUAACCCGCCGAAAGGUGAGCUAAUACCCUAUACGCUAUCUUUUUUUCGAAAGGAAUAGGAAAGCCGGGUCGAGGACCUGGUACUCAAGGAGGGGCUCAUGUCCUAUCAGCUUGUUGGUGGGGUAACGGCCUACCAAGGCUACGACGGGUAGCUGGUCUGAGAGGAUGAUCAGCCACACUGGCACUGAGAUACGGGCCAGACUCCUACGGGAGGCAGCAGUGAGGAAUAUUGCGCAAUGGGCGAAAGCCUGACGCAGCGACGCCGCGUGGGGGAUGAAGGUUUUCGGAUUGUAAACCCCCUUUCAUGAGGAAAGAUAAAGUGGGUAACCACUUAGACGGUACCUCAAGAAGAAGCCACGGCUAACUUCGUG